UAGUCCUAAAAAUAAUUCAGUGGUGAUAUGUCAAGCUAAUUAAAAAAAUAGGUAGCUUUUAGGUCUAGGGUGGUAAAUAGGUAGACUGAAAUGAACAUUGGUAGAUCUACCAAAAAGUUGGUAGAUAUGAAAUCACUGUCGUGAGCGACUACAUUGCGCCCACUUCGCACACAAAAUAUCGCAAACGAAAAAAACUAACUUCAGUUACAUCGACACGUAAUACAACAUAAGUAGACGAAAAAAAUUAACAAACGCACUAAUCGUCACUACGAUUUUCGAAGGUUCGAGCAACCACCAUAUUCACCAGAUUUGGCUCCAGCCGACUUCUUUCUUUUUCCUAAACUCAAAUUACCACUUCGUGGCACCCGUUUUCAAUCGGUAGAAGACGUAUAGAAGAAUUCGCGGCGAGAACUGAACUUAAUUCCGGAAACAGCAUAAAAAAUGUUUUGAUGAUUGGAUUAUUCGUUGGCGUAAGUGUAUCGUUUCGUAUGUCCAGAGGGUGGGGCCACUAGAUAUCUGUCCGAUAACUGGUUGGAACCGCUACGGGUAAGCGACCCCGGACUGCUCUAGCUGCUAGUGUCACACACCC
rnacentral:misc_RNA from 1 species